rnacentral:rRNA from 1 species
AUGUCCCCUUCCGAUCGCUCGAAGCAGCGCUCGGCAGCGUCGACUCUCCCGCGGUCUCGAUCCUGGAAAUCCACGUCCCCUACGAGUGCGUGCCCAACCCUUUCCCCGACACCGCCGGCGUCGACUCACUGCUGCGCGCCGCCGCGCGGCUCGAGCCGGCGGAGUUCGUCUUCGCCCUCCCCGGGCACUUAUCCAGCCCUUGCGUCGACGUCGACCUGUCUUGCUUCCACCGCACCACCUCCAUCGAGCUGGACUCAUGUCUCCUCUUCCUCCGUGUGCCAACCGGCGUCGACUUCCCCGCGCUCGAGAUGCUGUCCCUGUCGGGGAGGAUCCCGGAUCUCGACCCCUUGCUUUCAUGCUGCCCGCGCUUGCGCACACUCCAGCUCAGAAGCAUAG